ensembl:lncRNA
GGUGAUUUCACAUACAGAAUUAAAUUCUGGCCAUAACAAGAUUAAGUUAAAAUCUGUAACCAAAAAGAUCUGAAUAUUUGAAAAUUAAAAAGCAUACUUUGACCCCAACCUGUGGGUCAAAGAAGAAAUUACAAAACAAAUUAAAAAUGUUUAUCUGAAUGAUAAGGAAAACAUAAUAUAUGAAAAUUCUUGAAAUGAAGCUAAAGCAGUGUUUAAGGGAAAUUUAGAGCUCUAACAUGCUUUGUUAGAAAAGAGGAGAGAUUUAAAAUCAGUUCUCUAAGUUUCCACCGUCGUCGUCGUCAGUGCUGUCAAGUUGAUUCCAACUCCUAGUGCCCCUGUGCACAGCAGAGGGGACCCUGCCUGGUCUUUCUCAGCUGUCCUCUCACGUCCCACGCUGUUUCAGACGGUGCUCCACUGCUACUCACAGGAUUUUCAUGGCCAGGUUUUUCAGAAGUGGGUGGCCAGGUCCUUCUUCCUGGUCUGUCUUAGUCUGGAAGCUCCACUGACACCUGCCCAUCAUGGGUGACCCUUCUGGUAUUUGAAAUCCGGGUAGCAUAGCUGUCAGCAUCACAGCAACUCAGCCAAACCACAGUAUGACAACCAGCAGAUGGGUGGUCUGGUUCCCUGAUGGGGAAGUUUCCACCAUAAGAAGCUAGAAAAGAAGUGCAAAUGAAACACAACAUAAGUAGAAGGAAGGAAACAAUACCAAUAAAAGCAGAAAUCAAUGAAAUAGAAAAUGGGCGAACAGAGAAAAUCAGGGAAACCAAAGGCUGGUUCUUUGGAAAGAUCAGUAAAGUUGAUAAACCUCCAGUGAGACUGCUCAUGCAAAAAGCCACAAAUUAUCGAUACAAGCAGUAAAAGUUGGGACAUCACUACAAAUCCUACAGACAUUAAAAAGAAAAUGAGGGAAUAUGAAGAAAUAUGAAGAACUUUAUACCAAAAAAGUUUGGAAACCUAAAUGAAUUUUUUCUGUGAAAGGCAUGAAUUAUCAAAAUGAAUAGAAAAAAAAAAUAGAAAACCCAAAUGCCCUAUCUCUAUUACAGAAAUUGAAUUUGCAGUCAGUCUUUCCGUGAGGAAAAUCCCAGGCCUCUACUUGCAAUCCUAACACCCUAUAAAGCCUGCCUCACCUGGCAGCCAGAGUGAUCUUUCUAGAGUGCAAAUCUGUCACUCCCCCCACCCGAUGCCUCAGUGGCUUAGUCCCCAAUAUGACCUUCAAGGAAAUGGGACCCGAGUGCUGCCUGCCUCUGGACACCCUCACUACGCUCAUCUCUAACCACUAUCCUCUCCAUCCUUCCCCACUCCAUGCCUACACCUCCCCCUCCCCGCAGGCAUGCUGGAGCGUGCGUGCACACACCUGAUCCCUAGGAGUUCUCUGGUGGCAGUACACCCUACCCCCACCAGGGGGCAUUUGGGAAUGUGUGGGAGUGAGUUGUCACAACCACUAUACGAUGUCAUUGACAUUUAGGGGGCAGAGGCCGGGCGUCAAACACUCAGCAGUACCUGGAACAAGCUCCGCGUUGAAGAACUGCCCUAUUGAGAAUGCCAGAAGCGCCACACUGAGUCUUGCCUGAGUUUUCUCUCCGUCUCACCUGGCUCAUCCUGACUCUGCCUUUGGGGCUCUGCUUAAACGUUACCCUUGGAGACCUUCCCAAACACAUGCCCGAUAAGUUUGCUACGUUGAAUUUGUCUCCCUCCACCCUCCGCCCCUUUUAUUAAAUAGAAGUCACGUUCACUUCCAGGAGCAGAGACUUUUAACUUGAAUACAUUCUGAAAAACACUAAGAAGGGGGAAAAAGGGAAAUUCUAAUAUUUACUCUGUAACCAUGGUAAAUCCUCCCCUUUCGUGAAGGGAGGCUUCUUCCUGAUCUUCGUUUUUCUUGAUUGGAAGUGGUUUCCCUGGAGCCGCGGCUCCCACCUGGGCCUCCCCGAGUGCCCGCCCUCUCCUUCCUGCUUCCCUGCCCUCAUCCCCAGUCACCUCUGCCUUUUGUUAUUCUAGUUCAUCCUUCUCCCAAGGUUGAGCCCUGCUCGAGCUUUCCCCUCCCAGCUCUCGUCUGGAGCCCCUCCCCCUGUGGACCCCUGCUCCCCGCCCUGCAGGGCAGACCCUCCAGAAAGCAGCUCGAGGAAGAGGAGACGUCUUCUCUGUGCUGUUGUCGUUGCCUCUUUGCCUCUCUCCAUGUACAGCUGAGUCCAAAGAUCUGUCAGUCAAAGCAGGAGGAUUAGCCUCGCCCAUGUGAAGGGUGAAUUGGGAAGAAAAAAAAAAAACCUUGUCUGAACUUGAAAAUAAAAAUGCUGAUGUGGUUUUUAUUCCCAAAACAUAUCUUACUGAUUAAGAGCAUGGAGAGCUACCGGCUCGUGGGUGGGCCAGCUGGAGUUGGCCUCCCCGCUCUGGCUCUCGAGGCCGGGCCAGGCUCCCGCCCACAGGAUGUCAGAGGCAGGCGCGGUGCGGCCACUCCACAGUGCACAUCUCUGCUGACCGGUAUGGCUGCGUGUUUGUGCAGCGUGCACACACAGGACUUUGAGACGGAUCCAUCAAGACGAGGCAGGUUCCGUCACUCAGCUUGACAGAAGACAGAAAGGCAGCAAGUCACCGGGGAAAGAGUGUGAACCUGGAGUCAGCUAGGGCUGGGUUUAACCCAGUGCUGCCACUUCUUAGCUGAGUAACCCCAGGUAAGUGACGUACUCUUUGGGCCUUAGUUCCGCCAUCUAUAAAACGGCAAUGCUGGCACCUACUUUGAGGUUGCUGAGAUAAUGCAAGUGCAGCCAUCAGCUCCUACCCGCACAGAAAAGAUGCUCCAUGAAUGAUAACCAUUCCAGUGGCCAAGAUGGCGGCACACGGCUGACUGAGCCACUCUCCCCAAGCUUUGGCCACCUGAGACCACCGCCUCUUCCAGGCAGCCUUGGGUUCUCUACCGUGGUUUGGAGCUGCAGGAGCAGCCUCGACCCUGGUAGGCCUUAGUUUCCAUGACUGUGCAAUGGGGCCGACACCUCUGCACACUUCGACCACACAGGGCUUGUGGCUUGGCAUGACCGCAGAGGCGGCUGCCAGGAAGGUGGCCUUCGCCAAGGGCUGGAUUCCUCCCGGCCCAGCCCAGCUGGCAUUUUCUCCAGUUUCAUUGGGUUGGGUUAUAGAGCGAUGGCAGCGAUUGAUAAUGCUGUAAUUGGGUGACCUGGGUAUUUUCCUAGGUACUGCUGCUGAUGACUCAUGCUUGGUAAGUCAACAUUCCACUGUCAUCGAGCACAGGAGACGGUUAAAGAGCCUAAUCAGGUAUUCAGGUUUCACAACUUCAGUGUCUGAAUGUGAGGUCCUUGAGUCACCCAGAGAUUCCACUCCUCGGGAGAUGUUUACGUGGAGCCUUUGUUCCCAGAGUCCCACACCGAUGGAGUUUUCUUUGUGGCAUUUAGCUGGCACUUAGAGGGUUUCCAGCUGCAAUCUGUUCCCAGCAAUUAACGUCCUGUAAAUAAUAAAUCUGCUCAGGAGCCGAGCUGCUGAGGCCUUCAGCUCCUCCUCGCCUCCCUCUCCCACUCUGUCCUUCCAGCACCUUCCCCUUCUCUGCUCUUGCCCCCUUCCUGUUGUCCACCCUCCCUCCUGCUCCUCCACUUCUCUCUCUCUCCCUGGGGUCCCUAUUCCCUCUGUCCUCCUUUCUCCCUGGCUGGCUCUCUGGCCUUGGAGCAGCAUGCGGUGCUGAGCACGCUCAUUUCCUGCACUUCACAGGCGCAGGGCCCUGAGCUGGAGGGGACAAGCUGAGACCCAGGGGAAGGGCAAGUGCUGGGAAGCACAGAGACUGCCUGGGACACAGGGUGCCACAAGCAGUCAGAGCCACCACAGCCCUCCACCUUUCGCCAAGGGCUGGGCCCCGCAGAACACAUGGUUGAAAAGGUGUGAGGGGGCCAGCCAGGUGGCGUGGUGGGUAAGUUCGCACGUUCCACUUCGGGGGCCCGGGGUUCGCCGGUUUGGAUCCCGGGUGCGUACCUACACACUGCUUGUCAGGCCAUGCUAUGGCAAGUGUCCCAUAUAUACAGUAGAGGAAGAUGGGUAUGGAUGUUAGCUCAGGGCCAGUCUUCCUCAGCAAAAAGAGAAGGAUUGGUGGUAGAUAUUAGCUCAGGGCGAAUCUUCCUCAAAAAAAAGAGCUUGAGAACUGCACUCUCCAAAGGAAUCACCACAACUGCUGCCUCCAGCCCACUUGCUCUGUGGCUACACUGCCAUGUGGCGGGCAGGAGGGGCGGGUCCUAAGGGCGGGAUGUGGGAGGAUGAGAACACCCCCGUUCUCAGGUGCCCAGAAUGCAGCUUCUCUCCUCCUCCCGCCUUUCCUCUUGUGAACCGUCAGGCAGUGCUGGGGUGAAUCCCGACCCCAGCAGCAGUGGUCACUGGGCGCCCAUAUGUCCCAGGCCCUGUGCAGACAGACCAGGUCCCUGUUGCCCCGGAGCCGGAGCCGGGGUUUGGGGGCGGGGCAGCUCUAAAGACCAAUGCAAAUAAGUCCCAAGAUUACAGAUUGUGAUAGGGUCAAGAAGGAAACAAGCUGUUGGGUGGCAGGGAGGCCAAAGACCCCGUUGGCAAUGUCAGGGAGCACCUGCGACCCCGCAGCAGAGUGGAGGGAUCAGAGCCCCGCUCCAGCACCGGGUCCUCCCUGAUUGGAACCUCGGCCCCUUCCUUCCUAGCUGUGUGGCCUUGGGCAAAUUGCUUGACCUCUCCGGGUUCGGUUUCCCUUUCUAUAACGUGGAGAUGGUAGUUGUAACUCCUCUAGAGGGCCGACUCAAGGUUCAGCAAGGUAAGGUACACGGAGCCGCUCAGAGCAGCUCUGGGCCCGCGACUGCUUUGAAUUCAGGGGUAGAGGCCUAGAAUGUAGAAAAAUAGGAGCUUUCAGAGUGGAAUCCCAUCCAGGCAAGCUGGCCCGCUCUCAGGGAUUCCAGACAGCCGGCUUCCCAGCUUCGGGGAGACUGUGUGGCCGAGAGGUGAUCCUGCACUGCCCUCUGGGGGAUGGCCUCACAGGAGUGAGGAGGACACAGCCUGCGGGGCCUGCCGGGCGUGGGAGCCCCCGGGGACCCUGGCCCUCCCUGCGCCCUCGGGCUUGCACAUCCCUGGGGUCUGGCUGCCCCUCCUUCCCACCCGCGGCAGCCUGAGGCUGCCCACGCACUCCUGCUAUGGCAGCAACAGUUGGAGCUGGUCCCCUCCACAGAGCUGGUCCUGGCAGCCCUGGCCCUCGGUUCCUUGGCAUCCCCUCCUCUGGCGAUGCUGAGGGCACCGGGAGCUAACAUCCGCCCAGUGCUCGUUUCGCCAGACACCGUUCUGAGGACUUUACUGACUCGCGUUGAACCCUCAGCAAUACUCUGAGAUUGGUGCUACCUUUAUGUCCAUUUCACAGAUGAGGAAACUGAGGCACAGAGAGUGACUCCACUGGCCCUCAGCCUUUCCCUUCCACGACCUCAGCCUGGAACUUGUCAUUGCCAACAACUGCAUCCUGUUUCAAGUGCCCCUAAGAAGCCCACUGCCUCCCUUCUCUUCCCCCCAGUCCUCUCGCUCACCCAGAACCUUCUGCAGCCUCACUUCUGUCCAUACGAGGGUAGCGUUCUUCGUUUUCAUCACGCUCCCCACACACGCUCAGCCCCCUGGCCCCUCGCCCACGUGGAAUUCUUGUCUGACACGAUCCAACCCUGGGCACGUCCAACCUCUUGCCCAUCCCAUGGCUGCAGCCUCCCUUGAGGAAGUGCUCGUCGCGCAGCCGGGUGCCACAGGCGUGGCCAUGGCUCCCUGACACCCUUAGCACCUCUGCCCGUGGGCCGCUCCCCCUGCUGUCCGCAAGCCUCUCACCCCAGCCUCCACCCUGUGCACCACCCUCUCUCAGUUCCGGCGGGGUCUUCCUUCCUGGCUCUGGAAACAGCAGCAACCAGAAGACACCUGUCCAGGCUGGGCCACCACAUCCACCCGUCCCCGGCUGUCCUAGCUGCGUUCCCCCCACCCCACCACAGCCUGUGCCCCCUUCCCACGGCAUCCCGCACGCUGUGAUUUCUCCCAUCUCAGAAAUCCCUCUAUUGACGCCACCUUACCUCCAGCUGCCAUCAGUCCUCUGCUCUUUCUGAAGGCAAAGCCCCUCCCAAGUCAUCCACUUGCCGUCUCCAAUUGUUCCCCUUCCCUGUCAGCCUCCCCGACAGUUCUCACCCACCCGGCUCCACAGUGUCCACCUCAAGGCCACUGAAGAUUUUCACAUCCCUCAGUCGGGGGGUCAGUGCUCAGACCCCCGAGGACGUGGCUCUUGGCGUCCUGGCUCCGACAGACUCCCCAGCCCUCUCCUCGUCCCGCAUCGCUGCUCCUGGCCGUCCGCUUUGCUGGCUCAUCCUCCUCUCUCAGCCUCCAAACCCUGGAGUUCUUGGGGUGUCGUUAGUGGAAUUUCUCUCUUCUACAUCCGCUCACUCCUUGGGAAUCUACCCAGUUUCAAAGCUUCAAACAUCAAUAAUACUCUGACGAGCCCCAGAGCUCAUCUAUCCCCAGCCCGGACCACCCCAAGCUCCAGAUGCUGCACCCAACUCGCUACUGGAUGUUGCCACUCGGAUGGCUAGUAGGCGUCUCCUAGGUAAACACACCCACGACAGCUCCUGACCUCCCCACUCCCAGAUCCCACCGCCCCCCAGUCUUCUCAAACUCAGAAAAUGACAACUCCAUCCUGUUGCUCCAUCCUUCCAGUUGCUCAGAUUAAAAUCUUCAGAGUCAUCCUUGGGUCUCCGCUUUCUCUCAAACCUCACAUUAAAUCUGUCAACACAUCCUGUGGCUCUGCCUCGCGCGCCUGGCCGUUUCUCACCGUCUCCCAGUCUAAGCCACCGCGAGCCGCCAUUGUUCUUCCAGACCGUUACAGUUUCUUCCUCAUGUCAUUCUGCCAUGUCCCUCCAGAGACUCUCACGUUGCUCAGAGUGUGGCCCGGCAUUACCAGAGUCUACAGGGCUGCCCUGCUCUGGCUCCCCUCCUGCAGCGCCCCUCAGCCCUACAGCCUCUUAGAUGCUCCCUAAGCAAGCCAGGCUCUCUCCUGCCUCAGGGCCUUUGCACCUGACAUUCCCUUUGCCUAAACACUCCUCCCUCAGCUCUCUGCCUGGCUCACCUACCUCCUCCCUGUCUUUGCUAAAAUGUCCCAUUCUCACCAAAACUUCAACUGGAACCCACUCGCCGCAGCAGCCCCGCCUCCCCUUCCCUGCUUUGUACUUGUCUCAUUCUUACAGCCAGCGAGCCGGCCCAGUGUCUAUUUCGAGUGUUGUCUGGUCCACAGGGGCAGGGGUUUCGACCCCUCUGCUCACUGCUGCAUCCCCUGUGCCCAGAGCACCUGCCAAG